rnacentral:rRNA from 1 species
UGGGGAAUAUUGGACAAUGGGGGCAACCCUGAUCCAGCCAUGCCGCGUGAGUGAUGAAGGCCCUAGGGUUGUAAAGCUCUUUUGUGCGGGAAGAUAAUGACGGUACCGCAAGAAUAAGCCCCGGCUAACUUCGUGCCAGCAGCCGCGGUAAUACGAAGGGGGCUAGCGUUGCUCGGAAUCACUGGGCGUAAAGGGUGCGUAGGCGGGUUUCUAAGUCAGAGGUGAAAGCCUGGAGCUCAACUCCAGAACUGCCUUUGAUACUGGAAGUCUUGAGUAUGGCAGAGGUGAGUGGAACUGCGAGUGUAGAGGUGAAAAUUCGUAGAUAUUCGCAAGAACACCAGUGGCGAAGGCGGCUCACUGGGCCAUUACUGACGCUAAGGCACGAAAAGCGUGGGGAGCAAAACAGGAUUAGAUACCCUGGUAGUCCACGCCGUAAACGAUGAAUGCCAGCCGUUAGUGGGUUUUACUCACUAGUGGCGCAGCUAACGCUUUAAGCAUUCCGCCUGGGGAGUACGGUCGCAAGAUUAAAAACUCAAAUGAAUUGACGGGGUCAUAGCUGUUUCCU